rnacentral:lncRNA from 1 species
UCUCCCCCAGUUUAAUUGUUUUCCACGGCUCGGCAACCAGUUGGGCUGCUUCCUUCUGACGCACUUUCUUCUCAUCAGGAAAGUGGGAGCCUCUGUCCUCACCCGUGGGCAGGCUUCGCUGAGCCCAGCGGCCCCUGGGGCAGAGGCCCCACAGGAGCCCACUCUCCUUUGAACUCCCUGGUAAUUUGUCAGAGGGCCGGUGACAACAGGCUACACGGAGCAAAGAGGAAAGAGGGCAAGAAGCAGCAGAAGAGGAAAACCAAAGGGUACUGGAUAUGGUGGCUGACCCUGGGGUGCUACACUGAGAGAUCUCUGCUAAGUCCUUAGAGUUCAUGCAGCAAGCUUCCAGAAGUCUGGGGGAGAUUCUGAGCCUGGGAAAUAAGCUGACACAGAGUAGAGGCAUUUGAGCAUGGAGGAAUGGCUGUGCGGAUAUUCAGAAGAAAUAAAAGUUAGAUGGACCAGAGUGGGAAAUGAAUG